AGGAAAAGCCAUUAAAGAUGGAGCUGGAAAAGUUGGAGAUGGAGUUCACAGUUUCAAAAAUAAAUUGAAAGAUAUUUUCGGUAAAUAAAGCCAAGCAAUUGCAAUCUGUUUCGAAUUUAAGCUUGUUAAUAUAUAAAAAUUUAUUUCGAAAAGCAUGUCUUUUUAUGUUCACGCUAUACGUAAUUUAUAACCAAAUAUACAUUUUUUAUUAUUUUUAUCUUAUAGUGACUUUCAUAAUUUUA
rnacentral:lncRNA from 1 species